rnacentral:rRNA from 1 species
CCUACGGGGGGCUGCAGUGGGGAAUAUUGGACAAUGGGCGAAAGCCUGAUCCAGCCAUGCCGCGUGUGUGAAGAAGGCCUUCGGGUUGUAAAGCACUUUCAGUGGGGAAGAAAGCCUUGGGGCUAAUACCCUCGAGGAAGGACAUCACCCACAGAAGAAGCACCGGCUAACUCCGUGCCAGCAGCCGCGGUAAUACGGAGGGUGCGAGCGUUAAUCGGAAUUACUGGGCGUAAAGCGCGCGUAGGCGGUCUGAUAAGCCGGUUGUGAAAGCCCCGGGCUCAACCUGGGAACGGCAUCCGGAACUGUCAGGCUAGAGUGCAGGAGAGGAAGGUAGAAUUCCCGGUGUAGCGGUGAAAUGCGUAGAGAUCGGGAGGAAUACCAGUGGCGAAGGCGGCCUUCUGGACUGACACUGACGCUGAGGUGCGAAAGCGUGGGUAGCAAACAGGAUUAGCUACCCUAGUAGUC